GUACCCUACACUUGGGCCCUGGUCCUAGCAGUGUCUGCUCACUGCACCAGCAUUGGAGUGAUGACUUUUCCUGAAAAAUCACCUUUCUAGGGUGGGGUUUCUGACCAGUGCCUGUAAUGGGGCUCUCUCGGUUCCAAUGACCAGCUUCCUUGUCUUUACAGAUGACUUCUGUGGGUUUGCAGAAAUGUACCCUGACUUCGCAGAGGACUACUUGUACCCUGAUCAGACACAUUCUGACAGCUGCGCACAGACACCCCCAGCACCAACUCCCAAUGGCUUCUGCAUUGACUUCAGCCCCGAACACUCAGACUUUGGGAGAAAGAAUUCGUGUAAGAAAGUGGACUAGAGUGGAAGCCUCCGGAGGGAUGAGGCNCCCCCUGCCGCAUCAUCGUCUGCCUCCAGUGGCCUG
rnacentral:lncRNA from 1 species